AUUGCAGACCCGGAGGCCGUGGCUGUGGUUCGCGGCGGUGCUGUCGCGGGCGCCCUGGCGCAGCCCACGCAGGGGCUCCUGAGGGGAGACAUAAGACAUCAGUCAGUACAUGUGAGGUGUGCAUUGGAUUGAUCCAGAAAGUCAGGACGACUCCAAGUGGAAAGGCCUCCAGAGACAGGAGACAGUAAAAGAAAUGGCCUCUCUCCUCUGUCAGAGUGGAGUCCCGAGCUCCCAGAAAUGCCACAUGAUGGACAAACGCUUGGGGGAAAAAAAAAAAAAAGGAGACCUCAGUCGGACACAAAAGCAGGAGCUUUAAAAGAAAAAAUAAGAGAUAAGUUGAACUUCACCAAAAAAUAAGCGUUUCUGGUCUUUGAAAGACACUUAAAAUGAAAAGGCAAGCCAUCGAUGGGGAAAAUACUCAGAAUAAUGGAUCUGACAGAGGGCUGUAUCUAGAAUAUAUGAAGAUAUUUUAAAAUCCAGUAAUUUGACAUAAAGAUGGUAGCCAGCCUGACACACAAAGGAACCCGAAUGGCCAAUGGACAGGAAGGGAACCCGUAUGGCCGAUGGACAGAAAGGGAAGUGAACGUGAACAUCUCAUUGGGGAUGCCGUUAUCACCACUGGAAUAGUCAAAAACAUGGACACCAAGUAUUGGUGGGUGAGUGGAAUGGCGGGAACCCACAUACACGGUCGAUGGGAGCUGCACCCUUUGGAAAUCAUUUCACAGUUUGUGCUCCAUCCUGGCCAAACCCACAGCUGGAGUCUUUCCAAAAACAGUGACGGGAGUUUCCACCAGGGAGUGCCUCAAACCAUCCCGAGAUGGGGCUGGUUGGGAUUCCAGGGAGAGGCACUCGUUGCCAGGGUGAUCCGUCCAGAGCACUUCCUAGGGGAUCUGGCAUAAGGAGGGCUGCAGUGUAUCCUCAGGACAGAUAGGACAGAUAGUGUAUCUUUGGGACAGACGGCAAGAUGGGGAUUCCACCCAGGUCUGUCUGCAGCGAGUUGAUAUGAGAGUUUAAGGAAUUUGGACCAGGGCUGCUUUGUUUCAGGGUUUUGGGCAAUGACCUAAACACCUUUAUCAGUGCCUGGGAAUGCUCAAGGCCCAGCUUGAGUUCAGGCCUGCAGGGAAAACCUGCAACUGGCCGGGCUGCAGAGUGGUCAGGGCACGGAAAGCCAGAAGCUGGGGACACACCUGCUGUAUGAUCCAGCCGUUCGUCUUUACCUGGGAGAAAUGGCACCACCUGGCUGAACAUAACUUCUUACACUCCCAUGAGUCCUCCUGGACAGGUGCUGUGACCUCGUGCAGCCUUGGGGACCCUGACACUCCCACGGACAGGCCAAGGGGUUUGCCUGGGCCCUGUGGGCACAGAGCCCCUUGAGAUGGGUUUCCCUAUGCAGCCCCCCACCCCCCACCGGGGACCCAUGGCACUGCAGCCCUCACCCCC
rnacentral:lncRNA from 1 species